rfam:Neosartorya udagawae DNA, contig:Aud0009, strain: IFM 46973.
UCCUCGAUGGUCUAACGGUCAUGAUUUCCGCUUGUCACUCACAUGAGAACGAGCGCGGGAGACCAGGGUUCGACUCCCUGUCGGGGAG